rnacentral:rRNA from 1 species
AGUGAACGCUGGCGGUAGGCCUAACACAUGCAAUCGCACGGCAGCACAGUAAGAGCUUGCUCUUACGGGUGGCGAGUGGCGGACGGGUGAGGAAUACAUCGGAAUCUACUUUUUCGUGGGGGAUAACGUAGGGAAACUUACGCUAAUACCGCAUACGACCUACGGGUGAAAGCAGGGGAUCUUCGGACCUUGCGCGAUUGAAUGAGCCGAUGUCGGAUUAGCUAGUUGGCGGGGUAAAGGCCCACCAAGGCGACGAUCCGUAGCUGGUCUGAGAGGAUGAUCAGCCACACUGGAACUGAGACACGGUCCAGACUCCUACGGGAGGCAGCAGUGGGGAAUAUUGGACAAUGGGCGCAAGCCUGAUCCAGCCAUACCGCGUGGGUGAAGAAGGCCUUCGGGUUGUAAAGCCCUUUUGUUGGGAAAGAAAAGCAGCAGGUUAAUACCCCGCUGUUCUGACGGUACCCAAAGAAUAAGCACCGGCUAACUUCGUG